CAGAUCCAGCUUGCUGGAUGCUGACGAGCGGCGGACGGGUGAGUAAUGCAUAGGAAUCUGCCCGAUAGUGGGGGAUAACCUGGGGAAACCCAGGCUAAUACCGCAUACGUCCUACGGGAGAAAGGGGGCUCCGGCUCCCGCUAUGGGAUGAGCCUAUGUCGGAUUAGCUAGUUGGUGAGGUAACGGCUCACCAAGGCCACGAUCCGUAGCUGGUCUGAGAGGAUGAUCAGCCACAUCGGGACUGAGACACGGCCCGAACUCCUACGGGAGGCAGCAGUGGGGAAUAUUGGACAAUGGGGGAAACCCUGAUCCAGCCAUGCCGCGUGUGUGAAGAAGGCCCUCGGGUUGUAAAGCACUUUCAGCGAGGAAGAACGCCUGGCGGUUAAUACCCGCUAGGAAAGACAUCACUCGCAGAAGAAGCACCGGCUAACUCCGUGCCAGCAGCCGCGGUAAUACGGAGGGUGCAAGCGUUAAUCGGAAUUACUGGGCGUAAAGCGCGCGUAGGUGGCUUGAUAAGCCGGUUGUGAAAGCCCCGGGCUCAACCUGGGAACGGCAUCCGGAACUGUCAAGCUAGAGUGCA
rnacentral:rRNA from 1 species